UACGUAAGGUGCGAGCGUUGUCCGGAAUUACUGGGCGUAAAGAGCUCGUAGGUGGUUUGUCGCGUUGUUCGUGAAAACCUGAGGCUUAACCUUGGGCGUGCGGGCGAUACGGGCAGACUGGAGUACUGCAGGGGAGACUGGAAUUCCUGGUGUAGCGGUGGAAUGCGCAGAUAUCAGGAGGAACACCGGUGGCGAAGGCGGGUCUCUGGGCCGAUACUGACGCUGAGGAGCGAAAGCGUGGGGAGCGAACAGG
rnacentral:rRNA from 1 species